rnacentral:rRNA from 1 species
AAAAAGGGGACGCGGCGAACACAGCUAAACCUGCUUCUUGUUUAGGUGCCGGCUGCGCCAGUGGUAGUGGGAGUAGCGACAGCGUUGGUCUGCGGAAGAGCUACAGGUCCUGGUGUGGUUCUCUUCGUGGCGCUGCGGGCGGGGGAGGACCGCGUUCCUCGGAGGAUCCUAACGGCGGUAGGGAGCGCUUGCUGAGGCACAAGCAGUUGCGGCCGGCGGUGACGAAGGAAGCUAGACGUGGCGAGGCUGGAGGAAGCCGAAGGGGCUCGGGAGGUGCUCGUGGCGGUGAAGCUCUGGCGACGGCUACAGGCACACAAGCUGAUGUAGCUGCUACUGGGAAGGAAGAACAGUCUCGUUGGUCUGCUACCUCGGGUCCUCGGUCCGCGGUGGCAGCUGCUGAUGAUGAUGAUGAGCCCUCCACGGAUGAUGACGCACGUCGGGCGACUGCUGCUGGUCCUCAUCAAAUCCUCCUAGGAUCCGUCCUCCGGACGCGGAGAAAGCUAGACAUAGGGUCAAACACGAUCGGAAGAAUUCCGUUUUAACAAAUUGAAUACAGACAUGA